ACUGACCUAGCGGCGGACGGGUGAGUAAUGCUUAGGAAUCUGCCAUUUAGUGGGGGACAACAUUCCGAAAGGAAUGCUAAUACCGCAUACGUCCUACGGGAGAAAGCAGGGGAUCUUCGGACCUUGCGCUAAAUGAUGAGCCUAAGUCGGAUUAGCUAGUUGGUGGGGUAAAGGCCUACCAAGGCGACGAUCUGUAGCGGGUCUGAGAGGAUGAUCCGCCACACUGGGACUGAGACACGGCCCAGACUCCUACGGGAGGCAGCAGUGGGGAAUAUUGGACAAUGGGCGCAAGCCUGAUCCAGCCAUGCCGCGUGUGUGAAGAAGGCCUUUUGGUUGUAAAGCACUUUAAGCGAGGAGGAGGCUCUCUUAGUUAAUACCUAAGAUGAGUGGACGUUACUCGCAGAAUAAGCACCGGCUAACUCUGUGCCAGCAGCCGCGGUAAUACAGAGGGUGCGAGCGUUAAUCGGAUUUACUGGGCGUAAAGCGUGCGUAGGCGGCUUUUUAAGUCGGAUGUGAAAUCCCCGAGCUUAACUUGGGAAUUGCAUUCGAUACUGGGAAGCUAGAGUAUGGGAGAGGAUGGUAGAAUUCCAGGUGUAGCGGUGAAAUGCGUAGAGAUCUGGAGGAAUACCGAUGGCGAAGGCAGCCAUCUGGCCUAAUACUGACGCUGAGGUACGAAAGCAUGGGGAGCAAACAGGAUUAGAUACCUGGUAGUCCAUGCCGUAAACGAUGUCUACUAGCCGUUGGGG
rnacentral:rRNA from 1 species